AUACGUAGGUGACAAGCGUUAUCCGGAUUUACUGGGCGUAAAGGGCGUGUAGGCGGUCUUGCAAGUCAGAAGUGAAAUUCCUGAGCUCAACUCGGGCGCUGCUUCUGAAACUGCAGGACUUGAGUGCUGGAGGGGAUAGCGGAAUUCCUAGUGGAGCGGUAAAAUGCGCAGAUAUUAGGAAGAACACCGGUGGUAAAGGCGGAUAUCUGGACAGUAACUGACGCUGAGUCGCGAAAUCGUGGGGAGCAAACAGGAGUGGAUACCCUGUUCGUCCACGCCGUAAACGAUGAAUACUAGGUGUAGUGGGUAUCGACUCCCUCUGUGCCGCAGUUAACACAAUAAGUAUUCCGCCUGGGGAGUACGGCCGCAAGGUUGAAACUCAAAUGAAUUGACGGGG
rnacentral:rRNA from 1 species